CGAACAAACAGCAAUCCAAAAAUAAACAAUCCGAACAGAAGCUUAAAUAUCUAUUCCCGAUUGCGAAUCAAUUACUAUAUUUCCAAACUCAUAUACCACAAAAAUAAGAUAACAAAAUGGAAAUGAAAUUUUAUUUGAAUGACCUUCUUGGUCUGUGAGGCAUUUUUCUUUCUCUUCUCUUUCCCUUCAACUUCAUCAUCUUCACCUUCCUCAUCCUCUUCUUCUUCGUCCUCGUCAUCCUCGCUAUAUUCGCCUUCCUCCUCCUCUUCCUCGUCAUCGGCUUCUUCUUCUCCUUCUUCUUCUUCUGUGUUCGCUGGAGCUUUCGAAGGUCUAUAUUCGCCUUCCUCCUCCUCUUCCUCGUCAUCGGCUUCUUCUUCUCCUUCUUCUUCUUCUGUGUUCGCUGGAGCUUUCGAAGGUUCGAGAGCUCCGUCGGGGUAGAUCUCCGGAUCGUGAACGACGAGGGCACAGAGGCCAUUCUCGAGUUGAAUGUAUCGGUAUAACCGGCCAUCGUUCGGAGACUUUAUCACGAUGUCGUCCGACUUGAAAGUGACACCGCCGACGGCCAUUCUGUCUGACGGAAGAUGGAGAACAGCGAGAGACAG
rnacentral:lncRNA from 1 species